AGAGUUUGAUCCUGGCUCAGAAUGAACGUUGGCGGCGUGGAUUAGGCAUGCAAGUCGUACGGGUCACGGGUAGCAAUACCUGUGACCAGUGGCGUAAGGGAGAGUAAUACAUAGGUAUUUACCCUGGGGUCUGGGAUAGCGGCGGGAAACUGCCGGUAAUACCAGAUGAUAUCUCCGGAUCAAAGGUGUGAUUCCGCCCUAGGAGAAGCCUGUGGCCUAUUAGCUAGUUGGCAGGGUAACGGCCUACCAAGGCAAAGAUGGGUAUGGGGCGUGAGAGCGUGCCCCCACUCACUGGGACUGAGACACUGCCCAGACACCUACGGGUGGCUGCAGUCGAGAAUCUUCGGCAAUGGGCGCAAGCCUGACCGAGCGACGCCGCGUGGAGGAUGAAGGCCUUCGGGUUGUAAACUCCUGUCGUAGGGGAGGAAAUGCUAGUGGGUUCACCCAUUAGUUUGACCGAUCCUAGGAGGAAGGGCCGGCUAAUCUCGUGCCAGCAGCCGCGGUAAUACGAGAGGCCCAAACGUUAUUCGGAUUUACUGGGCUUAAAGAGUUCGUAGGCGGUUCGGUAAGUGAGGUGUGAAAUCCCUUGGCUCAACCAAGGAAUUGCGCUUCAAACUGCCGGGCUUGAGGGAGAUAGAGGUGAGCGGAACUGAUGGUGGAGCGGUGAAAUGCGUUGAUAUCAUCAGGAACACCAGAGGCGAAGGCGGCUCACUGCUCUUCUGACGCUGAGGAACGAAAGCUAGGGGAGCAAACGGGAUUAGAUACCCUAGUAGUCC
rnacentral:rRNA from 1 species